UAAACCCUAAUUCCAAAACCCCACCCCUUAACUCUAAACCCUAAGGUUUGGAUUAAUUAACCCAAGGGGUAUAUAUGUAUAUUUACCUCUUUAAUGAAACAUAUUUUUGUGACUUUGAGCCUUGAGUACUACUUUGGGAACAAAAACUUGGUUUGGUGCUAUCCUAUUCUUUUUCUCUUUAUAUAAUGUAGUUUUUAAUGAUAACUUUCAUUUCGUUUAUUCAGUACUAGCAAAUCUAAACCAUUUUUUCUAUUUCAAUUUUGUUUUACCAGGAUUUUCAGAUAUCUUUAACUCUAAGACCACCUCCAUCAGGAGGUUUUAGUAAAGGUUUCUUAAAAAAAACUAAAAAAAAUAAAUCAAAAAAUACAUAGAAGAAGAGAACACUGUUAAACACAACAAUGGUAACUGCUAAGCACCCCAUAUGUGUCUAUGUCGUAUUGGGUAAUGCCUUAGCGAAAAGGAAGAAAAAAAUGUUGGUCUCUCUUCGUCGAUUCUGAAGUUCUUUUGCAAGAAAAUCCGAAUCGUCGUUCGUGGAGAGAGAGAGAGAAGAGACGAUUGGAUCAAAGUGAAAAGAAGAAGAUGAGUUCUGAUUUGUAUCCGAAGGGGUUUACAGCAGCGACAGGUGCGCGAGCAAGUACGGUCGGCGGAGACCGGUUAUAGUCGCCGGAGCUGCGGCGACCGUGGUGUCUGUUUUGGUGAUUGGACACGCGGUGGAUAUAGGGUGAGCGUGUGGGGAUGGAGAAGGGAAGGGGAUGAUAAAGCCGAGGGUGCUUGUGGUGUUGGUAUGGAGGAAAAAACGAUGUCGGAUCAGAGCCAGGAGCUGAAGGACGAGUAGAGUCUCUAUCUUCUUUGGUACUCACACUGGAACCGCUGAAGGGUUUGCUAAGGAACACUUCCACCUCAACACCAAGUUAAUGCCUCUGCUUAUGCUUGAUGGGAACUCUUUGUCAGGUUCAAUAUCAGACUUCUCUCGGUGUCUGAACUUGAAGAUAAUGUAAAGAACACUCUCUUUAGGAUCAAAGUUGUCUAUUGUGUUUUGUAUAAAUGUUGAUGGGCUAAUAAUGUUUUGUAUAAACCGAAAAGAUUCCUUCCUCGUUGGCUAAUGUUUUGUAAGCUACCUAUUGAAGUAUUGUUAGUCACUAAAUCAACGUUUCUCUU